AUGGCGUGGAGCGGCGAGGGGAGGGACUGGGCCGCGGCGGACUCGGCGGCGGAGGGAGGAGCGCGGCUGCGGGCGGGCGGCGAGCGAGGCGCUCAAAGUCAGCCUCGCAGACAUUGCAGCAGAGCCCCGAACUCGGGAGGAGGCGGCGGCGGCGGCGGCGGCGGCGCGGCGGUGGCGGAGGAGGCGGAGGAGGCGGAGGAGGCGGAGGAGGCGGCGGCCGAGGCGGAGGGACGACCCGGCCCCAAGCCCUCCCUCCCGCCAGCGCACGCCUGCCGGUGGCCCCGCGGCCGCCACUGUGCUUGGCAGCACUGCUGCUCUGAGGGAAGAGCUCGCCGGGGCGCCGGGGAAGGACGGGGCGGCGGGGCGCCUUCGUGGAGUGAGCCUGACGGAACCCAGGCUCGGAGCCGCGGCGGCCUCGGUUCCUAGAGACAAAGAAGAACAAUCAGUCAUUGGAACAGCUACUCCUCUGCAGACUGUGGGACUGACUGUUCUUCCAGCCCGCUUCAUUCACUCUGGUGGGGAAACACCUCUUUCCAUACUUACCCCUGAAAGUGCCCGAAGAAUAAAUACAUAUUAAAAAAAAAAAAAAAAAAGGACUGCUCAUUGUUAGUUUUACUCAUAAAGUGAGGUCUCCGCAGUGCUUUUGAAGCAGUUGAAACCCUGGUGUAAUGUCUGCGGGAAAACUUGACUUAGAUCCAUUUCUUGAAUUUGUCUCCAAAACUCUGUAGAACUUGGAUUUUACUAAUUUAAACACCCUAAAAGAUUGUAAGUUUGUAAUAAAGAAGUGUCUGUAAAGGAGGCUAAAGGCUCUUCUGACUCUUGCAGUUUUAAGAGCAAAACAUCAUGAUAAAAAAUAACCUAUACCACCACCUAGAGUCUGUUUGUUAGUUUAUUGCUCCUGAAGUUUGCUUAAAUUGACAUGUCUCUUGUGGCUCCAGUAUAGCCAGAAAAUGAUCAAGAAGUGCUAGCUUUCAAAAGGUCAUCCAAGAGAACAAUUAUUUGUGUAAUAAAUAGAAAGUGCCAAUUUAAAUUAUCCAUGCUACCUUUAGAAAUGAAAAUUAUGACAUAUCAAGUGGAGUGGCUGUUCUCCACAAGAUACUAAUUCAAAAGAAUUUAAAACGGAGUUUUCAGUUUGUGCUCCAAGGUAGCGCUCUGAUUGCUUCAAGACUUUUCUGCAUUGUUAACCAGAGAUUCAAGAAAUCUUACAGAUUAGACGUCAUUAGGACUUUCUGAGGUGCAUUUCAAACAGAAGCAAUGAUAAAAUUAUAAAGGAGUGUUAAAACUCCAGAAAUUCUGGAGAUUCAAAAGGCAGAGAGUGUAGGCAAAGUAGACUUAGGGUUCAGAGAUGUGAAAAAUAAAUCAGUGUGAAAUAAAGUGGUAGUCUGUCUUGCUGGUAGUUUAUACACGGUAAAGCAAUCUGUUAAAUGGGAGACCUGGGGAUGGCAGCUUUAGUGCCA
rnacentral:lncRNA from 1 species